UUAAGUUAAUAAGGGCGUACGGUGGAUGCCUUGGCACUAGGAGCCGACGAAGGACGUGACAAACGACGAUAUGCCUUGGGUGCUGUAAGUAAGCGAUGAUCCAGGGAUUUCCGAAUGGGGGAACCCAACAGGUAGUAACCUGUUAACCCACAUCUGUUAAGGAUGUGAGGAGGAAGACGCAGUGAACUGAAACAUCUAAGUAGCUGCAGGAAGAGAAAGCAAAAAGCGAUUGCCUUAGUAGCGGCGAGCGAAACGGCAGGAGGGCAAACCGAAGAGUUUACUCUUCGGGGUUGUAGGACUGCAAUGUGGACUCAAAGAUUAUAGAAGAAUGAUUUGGGAAGAUCAGCCAAAGAGAGUAAUAGCCUCGUAUUUAAAAUAGUCUUUGUACUUAGCAGUAUCCUGAGUACGGCGGGACACGUGAAAUCCCGUCGGAAUCUGGGAGGACCAUCUCCCAACCCUAAAUACUCCCUAGUGACCGAUAGUGAACCAGUACCGUGAGGGAAAGGUGAAAAGCACCCCGGGAGGGGAGUGAAAUAGAACCUGAAACCGUGUGCCUACAACAAGUUCGAGCCCGUUAAUGGGUGAGAGCGUGCCUUUUGUAGAAUGAACCGGCGAGUUACGUUAUGAUGCGAGGUUAAGUUGAAGAGACGGAGCCGUAGGGAAACCGAGUCUGAAUAGGGCGCCUUAGUAUCAUGACGUAGACCCGAAACCAUGUGACCUACCCAUGAGCAGGUUGAAGGUGCGGUAAGACGCACUGGAGGACCGAACCAGGGCACGUUGAAAAGUGCUUGGAUGACUUGUGGGUAGCGGAGAAAUUCCAAACGAACUUGGAGAUAGCUGGUUCUCUCCGAAAUAGCUUUAGGGCUAGCGUCGACAUUAGAGAUUCUUGGAGGUAGAGCACUGUUUGGGUGAGGGGUCCAUCCCGGAUUACCAAUCUCAGAUAAACUCCGAAUGCCAAUGAAUUAUGGUCGGCAGUCAGACUGCGAGUGCUAAGAUCCGUAGUCGAAAGGGAAACAGCCCAGACCACCAGCUAAGGUCCCAAAAUAAUUGUUAAGUGGAAAAGGAUGUGGGGUUGCACAGACAACUAGGAUGUUAGCUUAGAAGCAGCUAUUCAUUCAAAGAGUGCGUAAUAGCUCACUAGUCGAGUGACCCUGCGCCGAAAAAUGUACCGGGGCUAAAACAAUUUACCGAAAGCUGUGGAUACCUUUAUAGGUAUGGUAGGAGAGCGUUCUAUGUGUGAUGAAGGUAUACCGUGAGGAGUGCUGGAACGCAUAGAAGUGAGAAUGCCGGUAUGAGUAGCGAAAGACAGGUGAGAAUCCUGUCCACCGUAAGACUAAGGUUUCCAGGGGAAGGCUCGUCCGCCCUGGGUUAGUCGGGACCUAAGGAGAGACCGAAAGGUGUAUCCGAUGGACAACAGGUUGAUAUUCCUGUACUAGAGUAUGUAGUGAUGGAGGGACGCAGUAGGCUAACUAAAGCAGACGAUUGGAAGAGUCUGUCUAAGCAGUGAGGUGUGAAUUGAGUCAAAUGCUUAAUUCUAUAACAUUGAGCUGUGAUGGGGAGCGAAGUUUAGUAGCGAAGUUAGUGACGUCACACUGCCAAGAAAAGCUUCUAGCGUUUAAACAUACUCUACCCGUACCGCAAACCGACACAGGUAGUCGAGGCGAGUAGCCUCAGGUGAGCGAGAGAACUCUCGUUAAGGAACUCGGCAAAAUGACCCCGUAACUUCGGGAGAAGGGGUGCUGACUUUAAGUCAGCCGCAGUGAAUAGGCCCAAGCAACUGUUUAUCAAAAACACAGCUCUCUGCUAAAUCGUAAGAUGAUGUAUAGGGGGUGACGCCUGCCCGGUGCUGGAAGGUUAAGAGGAGUGCUUAGCGUAAGCGAAGGUAUGAAUUGAAGCCCCAGUAAACGGCGGCCGUAACUAUAACGGUCCUAAGGUAGCGAAAUUCCUUGUCGGGUAAGUUCCGACCCGCACGAAAGGCGUAAUGAUUUGGGCACUGUCUCAACGAGAGACUCGGUGAAAUUUUAGUACCUGUGAAGAUGCAGGUUACCCGCGACAGGACGGAAAGACCCCAUGGAGCUUUACUGCAGUUUGAUAUUGAGUGUCUGUACCACAUGUACAGGAUAGGUAGGAGUCUAAGUGAUCGGGACGCCAGUUUCGAAGGAGACGCUGUUGGGAUACUACCCUUGUGUUAUGGCCACUCUAACCCAGAUAGGUGAUCCCUAUCGGAGACAGUGUCUGACGGGCAGUUUGACUGGGGCGGUCGCCUCCUAAAAGGUACGGAGGCGCCCAAAGGUUCCCUCAGAAUGGUUGGAAAUCAUUCGCAGAGUGUAAAGGUAUAAGGGAGCUUGACUGCGAGAGCUACAACUCGAGCAGGGACGAAAGUCGGGCUUAGUGAUCCGGUGGUUCCGUAUGGAAGGGCCAUCGCUCAACGGAUAAAAGCUACCCUGGGGAUAACAGGCUUAUCUCCCCCAAGAGUUCACAUCGACGGGGAGGUUUGGCACCUCGAUGUCGGCUCGUCGCAUCCUGGGGCUGUAGUCGGUCCCAAGGGUUGGGCUGUUCGCCCAUUAAAGCGGCACGCGAGCUGGGUUCAGAACGUCGUGAGACAGUUCGGUCCCUAUCCGUCGCGGGCGUAGGAAAUUUGAGAGGAUCUGCUCCUAGUACGAGAGGACCAGAGUGGACUUACCGCUGGUGUACCAGUUGUCUUGCCAAAGGCAUCGCUGGGUAGCUAUGUAGGGAAGGGAUAAACGCUGAAAGCAUCUAAGUGUGAAACCCACCUCAAGAUGAGAUUUCCCAUGAUUAUAUAUCAGUAAGAGCCCUGAGAGAUGAUCAGGUAGAUAGGUUAGAAGUGGAAGUGUGGCGACACAUGUAGCGGACUAAUACUAAUAGCUCGAGGACUUAUCCAA
rnacentral:rRNA from 1 species